AACAAUAAUAAUGUGGGAUUUCAACUAUCCCCAUAUUGACUGGGUACACGUCACCUCAGGAUAGGAUGCAGAGAAAGUUUUUUGACACCUUAAAUGACUGCUUCUUGGAGCAGCUAGUCCUGAAAUUUACAAGAGGAGAGGCAAUUCUUGAUUUAGUCCUAAAUGGAACACA